rnacentral:rRNA from 1 species
GAUGAACGCUGGCAGCGUGCCUAAUACAUGCAAGUCGAGCGAACGGACGAGAAGCUUGCCUCUCUGAUGUUAGCGGCGGACGGGUGAGUAACACGUGGAUAACCUACCUAUAAGACUGGGAUAACUUCGGGAAACCGGAGCUAAUACCGGAUAAUAUUUUGAACCGCAUGGUUCAAAAGUGAAAGACGGUCUUGCUGUCACUUAUAGAUGGAUCCGCGCUGCAUUAGCUAGUUGGUAAGGUAACGGCUUACCAAGGCAACGAUGCAUAGCCGACCUGAGAGGGUGAUCGGCCACACUGGAACUGAGACACGGUCCAGACUCCUACGGGAGGCAGCAGUAGGGAAUCUUCCGCAAUGGGCGAAAGCCUGACGGAGCAACGCCGCGUGAGUGAUGAAGGUCUUCGGAUCGUAAAACUCUGUUAUUAGGGAAGAACAUAUGUGUAAGUAACUGUGCACAUCUUGACGGUACCUAAUCAGAAAGCCACGGCUAACUACGUG